AAAACGACUCUCGGCAACGGAUAUCUAGGCUCUCGCAUCGAUGAAGAACGUAGCAAACUGCGAUACUUGGUGUGAAUUGCAGAAUCCCGUGAACCAUCGAGUUUUUGAACGCAAGUUGCGCCCGAAGCCACUAGGCCAAGGGCACGUCUGCCUGGGCGUCACGC
rnacentral:rRNA from 1 species